rnacentral:rRNA from 1 species
GAUGAACGCUAGCGGCGUGCCUAAUGCAUGCAAGUCGAACGGGAUCCUUUGGAUUCGUCUAGAGGUGAGAGUGGCGAACGGGUGAGUAACACGUUGGUGACCUACCCCAGAGAGGGGAAUAACCAUUGGAAACGAUGGCUAAUACCCCGGAUGUCCUCAUUGUUAGAGAGUGAUGACUGAAGUUCCGGCGCUCUGGGAGGGGCCUGCGGCCCAUCAGCUAGUUGGUAAGGUAAUGGCUUACCAAGGCUAAGACGGGUAGGGGGCGUGAGAGCGUGAUCCCCCACACUGGUACUGACACACGGACCAGAUACCUACGGGUAGCAGCAGCAAGGAAUAUUGCCCAAUGGACGAAAGUCUGAGGCAGCAACGCCGCGUGGAGGAUGAAGGCCUUCGGGUUGUAAACUCCUUUUAUGGGGGAAGAGAAAGGA